AACGAACGCUGGCGGCGUGCUUAACACAUGCAAGUCGAACGCGAAAGGGGCUUCGGUCCCGAGUAGAGUGGCGCACGGGUGAGUAACGCGUAAGCAAUCUACCCCCGCAUUCGGAAUAACUCGUCGAAAGGUGAGCUAAUACCGGAUACGUUUAUCUUGAUGCGAAUGAUGAUAAAGAAAGGUGGCCUCUUCAUGAAAGCUACUGUGCAGGGAUGAGCUUGCGUACCAUUAGCUAGUUGGUAGGGUAAUGGCCUACCAAGGCGACGAUGGUUAGCGGGUCGGAGAGGAUGAUCCGCCAAACUGGAACUGGAACACGGAACAGACUCCUACGGGAGGCAGCAGUGAGGAAUAUUGCGCAAUGGGGGCAACCCUGACGCAGCGACGCCUCGUGGAUGAUGAAGGCUCUUGGUGCGUAAAAUCCUGUCAGAUGGAAAGAAAUGUAUGGGUGUUAAUAUCGCCUGUAUUUGACGGUACCAUCAAAGGAAGCACCGGCUAACUCCGUGCCAGCAGCCGCAGUAAUAC
rnacentral:rRNA from 1 species